CUUGCGCCAAGCCAGCACGUGCUAACUCCAGCCUGAUAGCCCGUUUUCCGUUUUCGUGUAAACGGUUCAAAACGAUUUGCCGUACUCGAGUAAAGGGUUUGAAAACGAUUCGAGGCUAGCCCGUUUUCGUUCCGUUUCGUUUCGUCUCCGUGUAAACGCAGCCUGAGGUAGCGACGGCAGUUCGGCAGUCUGUCCGGGUGACGCAACAGCUCAGUGAAGAGGAUUUACGCGUGCAGACGACUCGUGCUAGUGCGUAGGGAACCACAGUUGCUGGCAGUCGCGUCCUGCAACAGAAAAUUUGUCGGAAUGCUAGUACCUGAGCAGCUGUCCAAUCGGAUGUCGAAGGACUAGGCAUUGGUUAGUAAAGUGGACAUUUGGCUACAAGUAUUAGCAAGAGUCCCUAGCCAAAAGUAAGUAACUCUUCUCUCUUUCCUAAGGGUCAGCUGUUGACCGUGAUGUCUGAAAAUGUUCUGUCUGUCUGUCGGCCUGUUGUCUGCUUUUCUCUGUGCUUGCCUGACUGUUUGUCUGUCUGGCUGUCUGACUGAUUGACUGACUGAAUUUCUGU